GAAAUAAACUGGUGAUGAUGAUGAAUCUUUAAUGAAGACGUACCGAUGAACCGGGGGUCUCCAUUACAAUGAGCAGGGCCUGUAAUUGGUGACAGGAACAAGAGGGAUUCGAGUCUGAGACUCCAAAAGGAUAAGAUUCCGCCAGGCUGUACGCUGGCGUAGCAUAAUGCUGCCCCCCACAGCGUUGCUGGUCGCCGGAGGAGCGGCAGAGCGAGUGAGCCGGUACGGAGGCCCCUUAGGGGGACAACGUGGUGCCCACCGAGGCUUUCCUUUCUGCCUCUGUGAAGUUCAGUUUUCAUUUAUGUUGGACUGUUUUUAGAGUGGCAGAGUUUUAUUACUUUUUUUUAUAAAUUUUUGUAAGUUUCUUAAUUAUUUGGCUUUUUAGUUUAAUAGUGGAAGACUUUCUUAUCCAAUCACGAUAUUCUGGGUUUUCAUGUAUCCCAUAAUCCCUUGCGUGCCAGAGAGUGGCUGCAGUCAAAACAACAUAGAGAAUCCACACGAUGACAAUUGUAAAUG